CCUACGGGAGGCAGCAGUGAGGAAUAUUGGUCAAUGGCCGGAAGGCUGAACCAGCCAUGCCGCGUGAAGGUCAGUGCCCUAUGGGCGUUAAACUUCUUUUGUGCGGGAGCAAUAAUGGUCAAGUGUGGCCAGACGAGAGUACCGUACGAAUAAGCAUCGGCUCACUCCGUGCCAGCAGCCGCGGUAAUACGGGAGAUGCAAGCGUUAUCCGGAUUUAUUGGGUUUAAAGGGUGCGUAGGCUGUGAGGUAAGUCAGCGGUGAAAUGCCUCCGCUCAACGGGGUGAAGUGCAAUUGAUACUGGCAUGCUGGAAUGCGGAUGCCGUGGGAGGAAUGUGUGGUGUAGCGGUGAAAUGCAUAGAUAUCACACAGAACACCGAUUGCGAAGGCAUCUCACGAAUCCGCGAUUGACGCUGAUGCACGAAAGCGUGGGUAUCAAACAGGAUUAGAUACCCUUGUAGUC
rnacentral:rRNA from 1 species